rnacentral:lncRNA from 1 species
AGAACAGAUGCUGAAAUCCCAGGACAGACACGGCAGCAGCAGGGGGUGACUCAGAGGAACUGGAAUGAUCUCUCCAAGAACUGCCAAGGCCCACAGGAGAGCCCCGCUGGAAUCGCCUGUCUCUGGGGGGCUCCAGAAGAAAAGGGACAGUCAUGAGUGCAGCUGUGACCUGGGCUCUGAAUUAGAGAGGUGCAGCCCCCCCAAUAUCACACA